GCUCAGAGUAUAAGCCAAUGGAGCUUGGAAGGCUUCCGCAGAUGGUGUCCAUCAUACGUGGUGUUCUUAAGACCUUGAGUGUGGCUCGUCAGGCGAAGCAUUUUAGUAUGCCGACCAGCUGUUGUGCGGGGGUUCGGCUUGGAGGUCUUAGGCUUCGGCCGAAGGGCUUCCGGCUGUCCCCUUUUGAAUAGACGUUCAGAGCUCUUGUGUCUAAUGCGGUUAUGCCCACCACAGCACGUUGUGAGGUCACCCACAGGCUCAAACUGCCGAUCGCGCAUCCAGGACGAUGGCAACGAUGCGUUGUCGAUGAUGGCUCGAGAGAGACUUCACUCACACGCGUGUCUAGUCCUGGGUCGGGCGGCGACCGAGAUAAACCUGGUACGAUCCUCUUGCGACGAGCUGCUUUCUGGCCAGACCGACGCCCAGGCGCCUCCACUGUGCCGGAAGCGCCAAUCCCAGGCGGUGUGAACCCAGCUGCAUUAUGCAAGGUCUCUCAGCCGGGCGUUGGUCUGAGUGGUGUUAAGUCCAGCACCAUCGGUCACGUCUCGAAACACGGGCCAAGGAGUAUAGCAUGUGUGCAAGUCUAAGGGUCUCCCAAAACCCGAAGGCGAAGUGAAAGCAAGACUGUGGCGGGGGAGCUACGGCAAACCCGCCGGCCUAGUGGCGCAUGCGUCGCCUGGCUUUUAGCAGAGCUGAUCCUGUUUUCUCGGUUAAUUCUUGGUGCAGGCGCAAGCUCCGGGCUCACGUACAACACUGGUCACGCCUC
rnacentral:rRNA from 1 species